UAUGUCCAGAGGAGUGUCUGACCUGUCCUGUUAUUUCCUGUCCUUGUCUGUUCCUUCAGGUGCCAUUCCAGCCUGGCCCAGACCCUGCCCCCAGAAGAGGCCCCCGUGGACCGGCCGUUUUGGGCCGACGGUGACCCCAGCAUGCCUCUGCCCUUUGACUUGGCUGACAUCAUCAACAGGGUGGAGUCACUCCUCUGGAGGAUGUGACGGAUGGGACACAAAGUAAAGAGAAGGAGAAAGAGAGCGAGAGAGUCACCCCGUCAUCUGAACAGCCUCUAUCGUGAGGACAGACGACAGAGGAGGAGAACAGGACCUACCAACUCCUGAUGGUGUCAACGUCCUCCAAUGGGGGUACACUUCCCCAGCCCAGCCCACCCUGGACCCCUCCCAACCCUGUACCUCGCCCCACACUGCCCAAACCAGUCUCAUCUAGCUUUGCUUGGAUUGACUCAACAUGGCUGCAACAUGAGGAUGGAACCCUGAGUAGUGCUUUGCUAACAUGCUAUAGCUGGUAUUGGAACUAGUCUCACAAUGGUAACGUGGAUAACCUGCAGAAUUCAAACUGAAUGUGUAGGAAUGUAUUAUUUCAAUGAAUGUUCUGUUUCUUUUCUACAUUUAACCAGCUUUGUGUAUGGAUAUGACAAAUAGUCAUACAGAUGUAGGAUCUUAAUUUUACCAGACAUUUUUGUAGGGGUUGAAAUUUCCUGCAACAACAGGGUGAUCAAAUUAAAAUCCUAUAUCUGUAGUACAUUUAUACUUUCUGUUUCUAACUCAAUGUUGCUCUAAUUAUACUGUUGUAUCCUAAUGUCCAUUCACUUCCUGUAUUUCACAACUUUCUUGUUCAGAAUCUCCCAGGGCAUGACUUUGUGUUACUAAGAUGUGACUGACUCUGUGUGUGUGUGUGUGUGUGUGUGUGUGUGUGUGUGUGUGUGUGUGUGUGUGUGUGUGUGUGUGUGUGUGUGUGUGUGUGUGUGUGUGUGUGUGUGUGUGUGUGUGUGUGUGUGUGUGUGUGUGUGGUUGAAUGUGUGUGUGGUUGAAUGUGUGCCACUGCAGUAUUUACAGUAUGUGAUAUUGUAUAUGUGUGAAGCAGUAUGAUAGGGAUAGGGCCUGUAGCAGGGCUGGGAGAUGUUUGUGUUAGAGAGGAAAGGACAUGAGAAUCUAGUAGGCAGGUCUCUGUCUGCAGGCAUGUCUCUAGUCUGCUCUGUAGGGCUGAAAGGCAGCCCAGGCAGACAGCUACUGUAGGGCUGAAAGGCAUCCCAUACAGACAGCUACUGUAGGACUGAAAGGCAGCCCAGACAGACAGCUGCUGUAGGACUGAAAGGCAGCCCAGACAGACAGCUACUGUAGGGCUAAAAGGCAGCCCAGACAGACAGCUACUGUAGGGCUGAAAGGCAGCCCAGACAGACAGCUACUGUAGGGCUAAAAGGCAGCCCAGACAGACAGCUACUGUAGGGCUAAAAGGCAGCCCAGACAGACAGCUACUGUAGGACUGAAAGGCAGCCCAGACAGACAGCUGCUGUAGGACUGAAAGGCAGCCCAGACAGACAGCUACUGUAGGGCUGAAAGGCAGCCCAGACAGACAGCUACUGUAGGGCUGAAAGGCAUCCCAGACAGACAGCUACUGUAGGGCUGAAAGGCAGCCCAGACAGACAGCUACUGUAGGGCUGAAAGGCAUCCCAGACAGACAGCUACUGUAGGACUGAAAGGCAGCCCAGACAGACAGCUACUGUAGGGCUGAAAGGCAUCCCAGACAGACAGCUACUGUAGGACUGAAAGGCAGCCCAGGCAGACAGCUACUGUAGGGCUGAAAGGCAUCCCAGACAGACAGCUACUGUAGGACUGAAAGGCAGCCCAGGCAGACAGCUACUGUAGGGCUGAAAGGCAGCCCAGGGAGACAGCUACUGUAGGGCUGAAAGGCAUCCCAGGGAGACAGCUACUGUAGGGCUGAAAGGCAUCCCAGGCAGAUAGCUACUGUAGGGCUGAAAGGCAGCCCAGGCAGACAGCUACUGUAGGGCUGAAAGUCAGCCCAGGCAGACAGCUACUGUAGGGCUGAAAGGCAGCCCAGACAGACAGCUACUGUAGGGCUGAAAGGCAGCCCAGGCAGACAGCUACUGUAGGGCUGAAAGGCAGCCCAGGCAGACAGCUACUGUAGGACUGAAAGGCAGCCCAGGCAGACAGCUACUGUAGGGCUGAAAGGCAUCCCAGACAGACAGCUACUGUAGGGCUGAAAGGCAGCCCAGACAGACAGCUACUGUAGGGCUGAAAGGCAGCCCAGGCAGACAGCUACUAUAAUGUGUGGCUGAUAGAAGGAUCCCCAUCCCAACUGCCACUCUGUCUUCAUAAUUGCAGCUGUUCAAUGGCUUUUAAUUAGUCUUAAAGCGUGUAGAGCACCACUUUCCCUGUAUCGCUGCAGGCCAGAAACUCAGAUCCACGGCUUCUGACAAAACCAACCAGGAAAGAGAAGCUAUGGGUGGAAAUGUGAUGGUUGUCAAAGCCAAGCAGAGCAGCCUUCUUUUUAUUUCUUAGUAACACUUUAUUUCAGGGAUCAUCAACUAGAUUCAGCCACGGGACGAAUUACAAAUCAUUUGUAGACUGCAAAUUUACCCCGAGAAGCCCAAACAUAUAUAAUAUUUGACGAAAACGUCAUGAUUUCGAACCUUGCUUACAUUUGUACACGAUUAAUUGUCUCUCUAUUAUGCGUGGGAAUACUUGGGAAUUAUAGAAAAGUUAUUAUUUUAUUUCUUUUUUUUGCUAAGAAAACCUGGGUGCGAAAUAAAACCAACGCCGGCUACCAGUUGGGCAGCUGCUUUCUUUGACCUGGCCACCAUAAUGCCUUUAUAACAAUGUUGUAAACAUGUCAUAACGCUUCAUAGCUUGUGUCAUUGUGAUAACUGAAGCUUUAUGGCAUGUGUUGACAAGUUAUGACUCGUGGUAUGAAGCUUUAUAACAUGGUCAGGACAUUUUUAUGAAGGUUAUGAAGAGAUCAUGGUGUUUAGUUCAAAUGAAGUCUUACCAAUUUCUUUAUAUAUCUAUCUAUAUCAACAGGAAGUAGAACUGAUAUAUAGUGUUAAAAAUGUUUUUCCAAUUACAAAUGUUAACGGUUGGCAAAAUGUUGUUCUCUUGCUUAAUCUUUUUGUAUGUUGACUGAGGUUGAGAUUGUAGACUGGCUGUAUUGUUGAGUUGAACAACUAUGUGCUCUCUGUUUCACAGCUCAGCUUGUCUGUCUGAAGCUUUAGGAAGGCAGUAAAUAAACCAAGACAGUGUUUUAUGACCCUC